UACAGAGACUGCAAGCGUUAUUCGGAUUCACUGGGCGUAAAGGGUGCGCAGGCGGCCAAGUGUGUUAGGCGUGAAAGCCUGAGGCUUAACCUCAGAAUUGCACCUAAAACUACAUGGCUAGAGCAUUGGAGAGGUAGCGGAAUUCACGGUGUAGCAGUGAAAUGCGUAGAUAUCGUGAGGAACACCAGAGGCGAAGGCGGCUACCUGGACCAGCACUGACACUGAGGCACGAAAGCGUGGGGAGCAAACAGG
rnacentral:rRNA from 1 species